GUGGGGAAUAUUGGACAAUGGGGGGAACCCUGAUCCAGCCAUGCCGCGUGUGUGAAGAAGGCCUUUUGGUUGUAAAGCACUUUAAGCGAGGAGGAGGCUACCGAGAUUAAUACUCUUGGAUAGUGGACGUUACUCGCAGAAUAAGCACCGGCUAACUCUGUGCCAGCAGCCGCGGUAAUACAGAGGGUGCAAGCGUUAAUCGGAUUUACUGGGCGUAAAGCGCGCGUAGGUGGCCAAUUAAGUCAAAUGUGAAAUCCCCGAGCUUAACUUGGGAAUUGUAUUCGAUACUGGUUGGCUAGAGUAUGGGAGAGGAUGGUAGAAUUCCAGGUGUAGCGGUGAAAUGCGUAGAGAUCUGGAGGAAUACCGAUGGCGAAGGCAGCCAUCUGGCCUAAUACUGACACUGAGGUGCGAAAGCAUGGGGAGCAAACAGGAUUAGAUACCCUUGUAGUCC
rnacentral:rRNA from 1 species